rnacentral:rRNA from 1 species
UCCGUAGGUGAACCUGCGGAAGGAUCAUUACCGAGUGUGGGCCCUCGCGGCCCAACCUCCCACCCUUGUCUCUCUACACCUGUUGCUUUGGCGGGCCCACUGGGGCUCCCUGGUCGCCGGGGGACACCCGUCCCCGGGCCCGCGCCCGCCGAAGCGCUUCGUGAACCCUGAUGAAGAAGGGCUGUCUGAGUACUAUGAAAAUUGUCAAAACUUUCAACAAUGGAUCUCUUGGUUCCGGCAUCGAUGAAGAACGCAGCGAAAUGCGAUAAGUAAUGUGAAUUGCAGAAUUCCGUGAAUCAUCGAAUCUUUGAACGCACAUUGCGCCCCCUGGCAUUCCGGGGGGCAUGCCUGUCCGAGCGUCAUUUCUGCCCUCAAGCACGGCUUGUGUGUUGGGUGUGGUCCCCCCGGGGACCUGCCCGAAAGGCAGCGGCGACGUCCGUCUGGUCCUCGAGCGUAUGGGGCUCUGUCACUCGCUCGGGAAGGACCUGCGGGGGUUGGUCACCACCACAUUUUCCAUUAUGGUUGACCUCGGAUCAGGUAGGAGUUACCCGCUGAACUUAAGCAUAUCAAUAAGCGGAGGA